UCCGGCUUUCACCGGCUGUCCCCUUAGAGUGCCCGGCAUUACCCGCUGGCAACUAAGGGCAAGGGUUGCGCUCGUUGCGGGACUGAACCCAACAUCUCACGACACGAGCUGACGACAACCAUGCACCACCUGUCACCGCUGUCCCCGAAGGGAAAGGCGCAUCUCUGCGCCGGUCAGCGGGAUGUCAAGCCCUGGUAAGGUUCUUCGCGUUGCUUCGAAUUAAACCACAUGCUCCACCGCUUGUGCGGGCCCCCGUCAAUUCCUUUGAGUUUCAGCCUUGCGGCCGUACUCCCCAGGCGGAGUGCUUAUUGGGUUUCCUUCGGCACAGAGGGCCUGACGCCCCCAACACCUAGCACUCAUCGUUUACAGCGUGGACUAC
rnacentral:misc_RNA from 1 species